UACAUUAAUAAGUAAAUAGAAUAUAAUUAAAUUCUAGCAAUCUAAUAGACAUUAUUCGAAUGAGUUUAUCUAUCCAGUCGAAUGUGUUGCAUGCUGUUUGAAUGAUUCCUUUCCUUCAUUGUGCUAAGGUGAUAUAUACUGUACUUGAUUCGUUUGUCACUUUGGUAUUUCAGAUCAAUCAAAUAACAAGCUGAUUGGAUAAACUGAAGAACACAAACUGAAGGAAGAAGGAAAAACAAUAUAAUAAUUUGAAUAAAAACAAUAUUAAACAAUGCUGACAAAACAAUGACUUUUGUUACAACAUUGCAAGAAGAAAUCAAUAAAGUGUAUUUCAUCAACAGAAGUGAUGUAAACUUUGAAUUAAAAAUAUUAGAAAAGGAUUUAAAUUUUCAAUUUUUUUAUUUGGUGUUCACUAAUGUUUUUUAAGGAGAGAAAAUUUGAAUAAGAAAAUAAUUUUUAAUAAAAUGUUUUAAAUCUGAAAAUUCUUUUAUGAGCAUCAUAAAAUGUGAGCAGUAAAUCCUUGUUUAUUAUAUAUUUUAAAAAAUUAAUUGUUUAUAUAAUCUUAUAUGAUAACUUUGUUUGUUCAAGAAAUUUUGAUAGCAUU